rnacentral:tRNA from 1 species
GGGAUUGUGGCUCAGAGGUAGAGUGCUAGCCUAGCAUGUUUGAGGCACUGGGUUCGAUCCUCAGCACCA